UGGGCCUAACAAUACUAUCCAAAUUAUAGUGAAUAGUAAGACGCUUCUAUUACUUCACAAAAAUUCCUUAAAUAUUUAAUCCUUGCCCCACACCUCUGGGAACUAAAUUCUCCUCCCCCCUCCCUCCCCCCGCCCACAGCUAUUGUGCCGCACAAAACAUGAUUUCAAAUAACUUCGAGCUGCUGCCAUCUAAGUUUUCUUAAUUUCUAAUAUAAUCGUCUACCAAACAUAUAGUGAUAUUUCUUGGAUCUCUCCCCCAUUUCUUUUAUAUCUCCCCCCCCCCUGGUCAACUUGGCAAUACGGUACUAUUCUACGUGUGAACAAUAACCCCAAUAGUAUCAUCUACAGUGACUACUACACAUGCACACAAUGUGAUUUCAAAAAAACUUCGAGAUGCUAUUAAGUAAGUCUUAUCAAUUUUUAAGACAAUCGUCCACAAAAUAUAUUGAGACUUUUUAAAUCAAUCCCCUCCCCCCUUAUUUCAAUGUUGAGACCUAC